GACGAACGCUGGCGGCGUGCUUAACACAUGCAAGUCGAGCGGUAAGGCCCUUUCGGGGGUACACGAGCGGCGAACGGGUGAGUAACACGUGGGUGACCUGCCCUCAGCUCUGGGAUAAGCCUGGGAAACCGGGUCUAAUACCGGAUAUGACUCCAUGACGCAUGUUGUGGGGUGGAAAGCCUUGUGCGGCUGAGGAUGGGCCCGCGGCCUAUCAGCUUGUUGGUGGGGUGAUGGCCUACCAAGGCGCGACGGGUAGCCGGCCUGAGAGGGCGACCGGCCACACUGGGACUGAGACACGGCCCAGACUCCUACGGGAGGCAGCAGUGGGGAAUCUUGCGCAAUGGGCGAAAGCCUGACGCAGCGACGCCGCGUGAGGGAUGACG
rnacentral:rRNA from 1 species